UACGUAGGGUGCGAGCGUUGCCCGGAUUUAUUGGGCGUAAAGGGCGCGUAGGCGGCCACGCACGUCCGUUGUGAAAUCGCCCGGCUCAACUGGGCGGGGUCGGCGGAUACGGCGUGGCUGGAGCAAGCUAGGGGGCAAUGGAAUUCCCGGUGUAGUGGUGGAAUGCGUAGAUAUCGUGGAGAACACCCGUGGCGAAGGCGGGCUUCUGGCUAAUGACUGACGCUGAGGUGCGAAAGCUAGGGGAGCAAACGGG
rnacentral:rRNA from 1 species